rnacentral:piRNA from 1 species
UAAAAUAACUUUGCAUUCCAAUGUGCUCUC